rnacentral:rRNA from 1 species
GACGAACGCUGGCGGCGUGCUUAACACAUGCAAGUCGAACGGAAAGGCCCUGCUUUUGUGGGGUGCUCGAGUGGCGAACGGGUGAGUAACACGUGAGUAACCUGCCCUCGACUUUGGGAUAACUUCAGGAAACUGGGGCUAAUACCGGAUAGGAGCUCCUGCUGCAUGGUGGGGGUUGGAAAGUUUCGGCGGUUGGGGAUGGACUCGCGGCUUAUCAGCUUGUUGGUGGGGUAGUGGCUUACCAAGGCUUUGACGGGUAGCCGGCCUGAGAGGGUGACCGGCCACAUUGGGACUGAGAUACGGCCCAGACUCCUACGGGAGGCAGCAGUGGGGAAUAUUGCACAAUGGGCGGAAGCCUGAUGCAGCAACGCCGCGUGCGGGAUGACGGCCUUCGGGUUGUAAACCGCUUUCGCCUGUGACGAAGCGUGAGUGACGGUAGUGGGUAAAGAAGCACCGGCUAACUACGUG